GAUGAACGCUAGCGGCAGGCCUAAUACAUGCAAGUCGAGGGGUAACUAGAGUGAUAGCAAUAUUACUUUGGCUAGACCGGCGCACGGGUGCGUAACACGUAUGCAACCUACCUUAUACUGGGGAAUAACUUCGAGAAAUCGGCGCUAAUACCCCAUAACACUGCGGAGAGGCAUCUCUUUGCAGUUAAAGCUCCGGCGGUAUAAGAUGGGCAUGCGUCCAAUUAGCUAGUUGGUGAGGUAACGGCUCACCAAGGCUACGAUUGGUAGGGGUUCUGAGAUGAUGAUCCCCCACACUGGUACUGAGACACGGACCAGACUCCUACGGGAGGCAGCAGUGAGGAAUAUUGCGCAAUGGACGAGAGUCUGACGCAGCCAUGCCGCGUGCAGGAUGACGGCCCUAUGGGUUGUAAACUGCUUUUGUACGGGAAUAAACCCUUCUACGUGUAGGAGGCUGAAGGUACCGUAAGAAUAAGCACCGGCUAACUCCGUGCCAGCCGCCGCGGUAA
rnacentral:rRNA from 1 species